AUACUUACCUUGCCUCAGGAAAGCCAGCUCAAGAAUUGGCCUUUCUAGUGUGGAGGGCCUGCAUUGCACACCCGCGGAGUCACUCUACUCUCUAUUGUCCUUCGGGACCAUAGGGGGCGGAAUUUUUGAUUUAUCACCGUCUUUCAUUGUGAUCUGCUGCU
rnacentral:snRNA from 1 species